rnacentral:rRNA from 1 species
UAUGUGAUCGUCUCUCGCAUAUCAAUAAGCGGAGGAAAAGAAACUAACAGGGAUUCCCCUAGUAACGGCGAGUGAAGCGGGAAGAGCUCAAAUUUGAAAUCUUAAAGGGUUUCCCUUUACGAAUUGUAGUUUAAAGAAGUGUUUUCUGUUGAGGUUUUGGUAAAAGUUCUUUGGAAUAGGACAUCAUAGAGGGUGAGAAUCCCGUAUUUGACCUUUACUUUCAACUUUGUGAUACACUUUCAAAGAGUCGGAUUGUUUGGGAAUGCAGUCCAAAAUGGGUGGUAAAUUUCAUCUAAAGCUAAAUAUUGGCGAGAGACCGAUAGCGAACAAGUACCGUGAGGGAAAGAUGAAAAGAACUUUGAAAAGAGAGUUAAACAGUACGUGAAAUUGUCAAAAGGGAAGCGUUUGACACCAGUGUUGUUUUUCUGAAAAUCAAUUAAAGAACUGUUUAUGCUAAGUUGUUUAGACUUUAUCAGCUAACUGUUUAGUUUUGAGCUUUUCUUUAAUGCACUUUUCAGUUAACAAGUCAACAUCAAUUUCUUUUGCUGUAAAAAAGCUUGAGGAAGGUGGCUUGAGAUUCGUCUUAAGUGUUUAUAGCCUCUUGCCUAUGCAGUCGGAGAGAUUGAGGUCUGCAGCGUAGAUCCUUCGGGGCUAAAUGCAUUUGUGCUAAGUUAUAGCAUUUUAUAGACAACUUGUUGACUAUGAUUUGUCUUGUAGCUUACUCGCUUAUGUUAUUUUACCUACGCUUAGGAUGUUGAUCUACAGAGCGAGAGU